rnacentral:rRNA from 1 species
GAGAACUCUGACGCUCGACGCCGGUGGGUGAUGAAGGCCUUCGGGUUGUAAAGCCCUGUCGGUUGGGAAAAAGGUAGUCGUGUUAAUACCACGAUUGCUUGAUGGUACCAGCAAAGGAAGUAGUGGCUAACUCUGUGCCAGCAGCCGCGGUAAUACAGAGGCUACAAGCGUUGUUCGGAAUUACUGGGCGUAAAGGGCGCGUAGGCGGUCUUCUAAGUCAGAUGUGAAAGCCUGGGGCUUAACCCCAGAAGUGCAUUUGAAACUGGAAGGCUAGAGUGCAGUAGAGAAUGGCGGAAUUCCCAGUGGAGAGGUGAAAUUCGUAGAUAUUGGGAGGAACACCGGUGGCGAAGGCGGCCAUUUGGGCUGUAACUGACGCUGAGGCGCGAAAGCGUGGGUAGCAAACAGGAUUAGAUACCCUGGUAGUCCACGCUGUAAACUAUGGAUACUCGCUGUGGCUGGUAUUGACCCCGGCCGUAGCCAAGUUAACACGUUAAGUAUCCCGCCUGGGGAGUACGGUCGCCAGAUUAGAACUCAAAGGAAUUGACGGGGGCCCGCACAAGCGGUGGAUUAUG